AUUGAACGCUAGCGGCAGGCCUAACACAUGCAAGUCGAGCGAGCGGCGGACGGGUGAGUAAUGUAUGGGGACUGCCCGAUAGAGGGGGAUAACUACUGGAAACGGUGGCUAAUACCGCAUACUAUCUGAUAACCCAUAUGGGAUUCGCUAGUAGGUGGGGUAAAGGCUCACCUAGGCGACGAUCUCUAGCUGGUCUGAGAGGAUGAUCAGCGACACUGGGACGGAGAGACGGCCCAGACGACUACGGAGGCAGCAGUGGAGAAUGUUACACAAGUGGCGGAAGCCUGAUCUGAACAUGCCGCGUGGAUGGAGAAGGCAUUAGGGUAGUAAAGUAAUUUCAGCGGGGAAGCGUUACCAGAAGAAGAAGCACCGGCUAACUCCGUGCCAGCAGCCGCGGUAAUUC
rnacentral:rRNA from 1 species